UGCUGUGUGUUGUGUGUUACCGAGCGAU
rnacentral:sRNA from 1 species